rnacentral:rRNA from 1 species
CUUGACGGUACUUGAGGAAUCAGCCUCGGCUCACUCCGUGCCAGCAGCCGCGGUAAUACGGGGGAGGCGAAGCGUUUUCCGGAAUUAUUGGGCGUAAAGCGUCCGCAGGUGGUCUUCCAAGUCUGCCGUCAAAUCAGGUUGCUUAACGACCUAAAGGCGGUGGAAACUGGCAGACUAGAGAGCAGUAGGGGUAGCAGGAAUUCCCAGUGUAGCGGUAGAAAUGCGUAGAGA